rnacentral:rRNA from 1 species
GAUGAACGCUAGCUACAGGCUUAACACAUGCAAGUCGAGGGGCAGCACAGUGUAGCAAUACACGGGUGGCGACCGGCGCACGGGUGCGUAACGCGUAUCCAACCUUCCCGAUACUCUUGGAUAGCCUUCCGAAAGGGAGAUUAAUACAAGAUGGUGUUUCACUUUCGCAUGUUAUUGAAACUAAAGAUUUAUCGGUAUCGGAUGGGGAUGCGUGACAUUAGAUAGUAGGCGGGGUAACGGCCCACCUAGUCUACGAUGUCUAGGGGUUCUGAGAGGAAGGUCCCCCACACUGGAACUGAGACACGGUCCAGACUCCUACGGGAGGCAGCAGUGAGGAAUAUUGGUCAAUGGUCGGAAGACUGAACCAGCCAAGUAGCGUGAAGGUUGAAGGUUCUAUGGAUUGUAAACUUCUUUUAUACGGGAAUAAAACACCUUACGUGUAGGGUCUUGUAUGUACCGUAUGAAUAAGCAUCGGCUAACUCCGUGCCAGCCGCCGCUGUAAAAC